AGAACGUCAGACAGGAACAGGAGAGAUAACAGAGACGCAGGGAGACGAAAGCUUGACUUUCAGCCUUGUUCUCUACAUUUCCUGUGGAAUUAUAACUGUUUGUGAACUGAGACAAACCACCAGAGACACUUUCAAGUUCUCUCCAUGUCCCACUCCCAUCACUUCCACCAAUCAGCUGACUCAUCUCACCCCAUCUCACCACCACCAGAAUCUAGACACCACAGAGUGGAUCCCUAAUGUACUACAUCUUCACCACCCUCCUGGAAUAGAUGACAUCACGAUGGGGUCUAAUUGCCAUAGACUUUUCACAUUUCUCAUACUUAUGUCCACCUGUAGAUAAAUAUUCUUUUCUCUCAGUAUAGUUUUGGCGAUUCAAAAAAAAAAAAAAAAAAAAAAAAAUCCUUAAACAUGUGUUGGAACAAGAAACCUAAGCCAAAUCAAAAAUCAUAAGUCCCUCCCCAGUGCUUAAAAAAUAAACUGACAUGCCUCCCCCUUUUUGCACCCCACCCCCCAACAUAAGUAAUGAACGGACCCUUAAUUUUUUAAAAAUGUAUUUGUUUACGCUGGCUUGGAGUGGGCUUUCCAUCGGACUACAACUUAUGUAAAUAUAGGUGUUCUGUAACCCUUCACACGGUGUUCAAACACAACUCUCUGAUUAUAAUCACUGGUCAAUCUACUGAAACUUUUUAACCACUUUAAGUGCCUGAAAAUAUUUUUAAACUGUCGUACAACAUCACUACAUGUUUUGGUAACAGGAACAUUCUGUCAGUGUUGUUUUGUAGUAAUGUUUUGCAGUUUAAAUGAAUUGCAGGAUGAGCCAAAAAAAACAUUUCCUCUUUUGUGGAUAAGAAAGUUAUUAAGUAAGUGUUAAAGUAUAUCUCUUCUGGACUGUCUGUACUUCCUCCUUAACCACCAUCUGAUAUCUGAGGCUUCUUUCUUGAGUGUCCAACACCUCAAUAAUGUCAACCUUUUUUUUUAGCUCUCUGAGAAAGUUCAGAUCAGGGUGAGCUCUCUCUGAUGCGUCACUCAUUACCACUUCAGAUUCCUGUUGACAGUCUCCCCGUAUCUCAUCUUCUCGUUGUUAACAAAUGUUCGAUCCACAGCCUGUGUGUCUCUACGGCCAUAAGUACAUAUACAGUUUGUGUGUCAGUGUAUGUCUCUGACCAAUAUAACAUAUGCCACACACAGUAUAUGUACAUAUACACCACAUUUUUAAAAAUAAAGCACCAAUGGCAAAAAAAAAAAAAGCUGUAAUAAUCUUUCAUCAGCCAGUGCAUGUGAUAUUGAUCAGUAGAGACCCAAUCACUGUGACAUCAUGCUAACAACAACAGUCACUUGCUGGUAGACAGCUGGCAACUGAUUUCAACUGUGGAGAUAUGUGAAAACGGCAAAAAAAAAAUAAUUCUGUUGUCAUUUUCAGCCGUAACUGUAACAUUUAAAGAUAUAUAGUUUAACACAGGUGUAACUGUCUGAGACAUUUUUACUGAAGUUUAACUGAACUGCUUUUCAUGUUGUCUGUCAUAAUUUUAUUAACAUUGGUCGCACCUGUUGCAUUAUGGGCUGAGGCAGUACGGCGGCAGAGAGCUAACAUGGUUGCAAAAGAAGUACAUAUGGCCCCAAAAUAAUAAUAUUCUGCAUUGUCCAAGAGGCGCACACGGUAAUUGUCAUUUUGCACCUUUAUUUGGUUUGUAUCUGAUUAUAAUAUUUGUUUAUCAGAAAACCCAUGUGAGAGACUAUUGUUGGGCAUGUCUAAAUGCUGGAUAUUUGUUGAGCGACUUUAAGUGAUUAAGAUAUUUGUAUUUCAAACCUUGUUUUUAUGGUUUUUAUUUUUGUAGUUUUCAUGGUGUCUGCGGAGGAUUUAAGGAUGGAAAUAAAAUAUUUGAUUAACCAAAUCUAGUACAGUACAUCAGCAACUCCAGUGUUCUGUGAAGUAAAAUUACUGUUUUUGUCAAUGGAGACUGAUGGCUUUGAGAUAACGACUUUAGUUUCCGCUGGAAAGGGCUGUCUAUUGGCAAGGUAAGGUAGUGAUAAUAUUUUAAAUAUAGCUUUCACUUAAACCUAUAUUGAUUUUUUUUAGGUGGGCCUCUUUUUUGGCAGCUCCACUUAAUCAGCUGAGGCAGUGUUUGCUCAGCACGUUUUAUUUUACGUACAUGACAUAGGUAUUUUUCUACCCAGAGGUUACUGUUAGCAAACAUCACGAUUCAAUCUGUAGUUGCUAAAGUGCUAAAAAGUGCCAGCAAUUAUUGCUAACAAAGUUAGCUACUUAAAAGUAAAAUAUAAUUUAAAAACAAAAAGCUACCAAAAGAUAAAGUAAAUAAUUGAUAAAGUUGAUUGAAUUAAGUUUUAAUGUAUUUUAUUAAAUGAAUGGUGGUGAAGAAAAAAAAUUAAAGCUAAAUGAAAAGUAAAAAGCUUUAUAUAUAAUUUUACACACAAUUUUAAUUAUUUAAUUAGCUGAUAUUAUUUUGUUCAUGUAUUCAGUUAUAUUUUUGACUUGUCUGAUACUAAAUUUGGUCAGUUUCAGGACUCCAUACUGUUUCACAGGUGUAGUUGUAAACAGAGGUGACAGACGCAGGUGAGUCUCUGAGUUUAUUUCCAUCUUUAACAGGAACAUGUUAUGAAUAAUCUACUGUAACAGAGUAUUACUGAGUACUAGCAGAGUAAUAACAGUAUCAGGUCCAUCAGGUUAGUAGCAGAGAUGUUUGUUAGUCACAGUGUUGUUUUAAGGCAUUUCCAUUGCAGAUACAGGAGCAUUCCACCCAAUAAAAGCUUCAUCACUUUCCAGCAGCAACACUUUAUUUUGAGACAAUAAAAAGCAGACGCUGCGUCCGAAACCACACGCUACGCACGACAUACUCAGUAUGUGUAGCCUACAAGCCUUAAAUAUACUUUUGUGUACAUAAACAGUAGUAUGUGUCUUUUUGGAAGCACUGAGCCGUAAUAACCACGUUACUUCCUGUGAGCCUUGCCGGUUAGAGACGCAUUACCGUGAUAACCCAUGCCAACUUCAGCUCUACCAGCAAUUUAAAAUGAUGAUUUAAAAAUAUAUUUCGCUUGGCAAAGUGCAAUCUUACAUUUAAAUUUAAGUGCUAUUGACGGUACAGAGGUGUUUUGGUGACUGUCCACCAUCAUCUGUUAUGAACACUGUCAUCUACUGAUAAUUGGUCAUGGACUUCCACGUCCCAAUACGACGCACAAGGUACCCUGGGUGCUUUGGUUGUUAACGUUCCUGGACGCCAUGUCAAGUUCUGCCUGUUACAUGCAUUGUUUUCUUUCAAAAUACACUUACGUUUUCACAGGAAAUUGACUGUUUACAUACAGUCUCUUUCAAAAUAAACGCACUACGUUGGUACAACACCCCAAAUUGACGUUUUUUUU